GCGGAAUAAGACAGCUAAUUUAGCCCAGUCUUUGGCCAUGUGAAGGAUGAAAACACCAACGAAAGCAACAAUUCUGGAACUUUGGAAACAAGUUAUAAAAGAAGUUUGUAGAUGAACUCAAUGUGCAGAACCUCUGUGUGGAACAUGAUGUCGUUUAUGUAAAGUCGUAAGAUUUCUAAAAGGUUCCAGUCUUUUGAGGAUUUUGAAACAGACUAUGACCUCAGAUUGAUUUGUAUGAUGUCCUUGGCCACAUCAAGCUAAUCAAACUCUGGGCGAACCACCGGCCCUUGAUGGAAUAGAUGGAGGAAGCACUCGGCCAGUCUUGAUUUACCUCCAUGAUAAGAACAACUUUUCCCCGUUCUCAUGAU